UGGAUCCAGACUUUGAUCCUGGCUCAGGAUGAACGCUAGCUACAGGCUUAACACAUGCAAGUCGAGGGGAAACGACAUCGAAAGCUUGCUUUUGAUGGGCGUCGACCGGCGCACGGGUGAGUAACGCGUAUCCAACCUGCCCACCACUUGGGGAUAACCUUGCGAAAGUAAGACUAAUACCCAAUGAUAUCUCUAGAAGACAUCUGAAAGAGAUUAAAGAUUUAUCGGUGAUGGAUGGGGAUGCGUCUGGUUAGCUUGUUGGCGGGGUAACGGCCCACCAAGGCGACGAUCAGUAGGGGUUCUGAGAGGAAGGUCCCCCACAUUGGAACUGAGACACGGUCCAAACUCCUACGGGAGGCAGCAGUGAGGAAUAUUGGUCUAUGGGCGAGAGCCUGAACCAGCCAAGUAGCGUGCAGGAUGACGGCCCUAUGGGUUGUAAACUGCUUUUAUAAGGGAAUAAAGUGAGUCUCGUGAGACUUUUUGCAUGUACCUUAUGAAUAAGGACCGGCUAAUUCCGUGCCAGCAGCCGCGGUAAUACGGAAGGUCCGGGCGUUAUCCGGAUUUAUUGGGUUUAAAGGGAGCGUAGGCCGGAGAUUAAGCGUGUUGUGAAAUGUAGACGCUCAACGUCUGCACUGCAGCGCGAACUGGUUUCCUUGAGUACGCACAAAGUGGGCGGAACUCGUGGUGUAGCGGUGAAAUGCUUAGAUAUCACGAAGAACUCCGAUUGCGAAGGCAGCUCACUGGAGCGCAACUGACGCUGAAGCUCGAAAGUGCGGGUAUCGAACAGGAUUAGAUACCCUGGUAGUCCGCACGGUAAACGAUGGAUGCCCGCUGUUGGUCUGAAUAGGUCAGCGGCCAAGCGAAAGCAUUAAGCAUCCCACCUGGGGAGUACGCCGGCAACGGUGCAACUCAAAUGAAUUGACGGA
rnacentral:rRNA from 1 species